AAGCAAAUCCCUAAACCUAAACUAGUCUGACUUUCCCUCUCUCACGCCGCCACCUCCCUUUCCCCACUUCUCCAUUCCAUUCUUUAACCACGGCUAAACUAAGAAGACCGAGAACGACAAAGAAGAGCGAGAGAGAAACCCAUCGCUUUUCUAUUAUUAGACAGAAAAGGUAAAUUGGUGGAAUUAGAGCAAUGACAAGUUAAGAGUAAGAUAAGGUGCAGUUAAAGACCCAAAGAGGAGUAAAAGAAGAAGACGGUGUCUCAAGCAAGAUGUUUUGUAGAAGAAUUGUGCAUCGUGAAUGCUUUGAAAUUUACAAUUAUGUGUGAUUACCUAUUGUGGAAUGUAAAUUCUUUUUAUUCUUAGAUAUGUUAUUAACAGCCUUAUGUAUAACUUUGAAUUUGUUUUGGAAUCUAAAAUAUUUGGGAUUUUAGCUAUUAUUAAAAUUAUUGUGACUA